ensembl:lncRNA ZBED5-AS1 ZBED5 antisense RNA 1
AGUCACAGCCUCAGCCGCAGCGGCCGUGCUACCUAGGUGAUAGCGGAGCGGCUGGAAUUGAGCAUACCACAAAAAAGUUCUCAUUUUGUGUCCUCCCAUCCCAUUCUCCUCACUAACCAAAGGCUAGGAAUUAUCUGUGAAUGUAGGACCACUGGAUUUGCAGUCUUCAUCUGACACUGUGGAGAGUUUCUAGGAAUGAAACAGAUAUAUGGCCUUGGGUCCCCUUUUUUUUUCUUUUUUUUUUUUUUAAUAGAGACGAGCAUCUCACUAUGUUGCCUAGGGUAGUCUUGAACUCCUGGCCUCAAGCAAUCCCCACCCGACUCCGCCUCUCGAAGUGAUGGGAUUACAGGCAUAAACCACCACGCCUGGCCAGAAGGUGCUUUAACACCAAAUCUGAAAAUUGUUCAGAAGAGAAACAUUGAGCAUGAACACCAUCUGUGCGAGUCAUUUACUUAUUGCCCCUCACCUCUAAAUCUACCUUCUGUACUCUUCUUCCCUGUAAUGAUGGGGCUAGUUGUCCUCAAACUGUUUCUCAGACUUCUUUUUAAGCUUGCUUCCUGUUCAGUUCUGCCAAUAGGGGUCACUAGAGAGAGACUGGGAGGCAGAAGGAGAGAAUAUGCUUCCUGUUUUUUCUGUUCUUGUUAAUGUUGCUUACAGGACCAGCAAUGCUUCUUCACCUAGAGACACUUCUCCCAGCAGUGGCAGUGCCACUUCAGCUUCUUUCAGCACUACUGGAAUCAGCCUCAGUGAUUCCCCCUGUACCCGCUCAGAGAUUAUCCACAGCAGCCAGAUGGUUCUACCUUCCACAAAGAUUGUGGUUGCAAUUCUGGGCUUCUAAGUUCUGGUUACUUCAUAUUUUUCCUUUUGUUCCUCCAGCCCUAGAGGUGGUAGCUGCUUUCUGAAGUUAUUAUUUCUAGAUGACUUUUGGUUUUUCAGCCUUUGUAUUUUGCUUUUCAGCCCUCUAAUGCCUGUAUAACCAAUUUCCCUGUAAUAAAUAAAUUUCCUCCAUUGAAAUACCUA